CCUUGUCUUCUCCAGGCUGAACAACCCCAACUCUCUCAGCCUGUCCUCAUGUGGGAGCUGCUCCAGCCCUCGGAUCAUCUCCGUGGCCUCCUCUGGACCCGCUCCAACAGCUCCAUGGUCCCUCCUGUGCUGAGGACUCCAGAACUGGUCACGCAGCCCUCUGUCUCCUGGUCUGAGGGACUCUUGUUCUCUCAGCUUGGCUUUUGGCAGCUGCAUUCAGCAGAAGACUUGAGCUACUCGUGCUUAGCUGUUUCAGCAACACGAGAGAGAGAGUGGCACCACCAGCACCCAUCUCUUCUAUAGCUACUCCAGUCCAGAUGCUGUGAUUCCGAGUGGCCACGUUUGGGGAAAGGCACAGCAAUGGGGUGGCCAGGAGGAGCAGGGAAGGGACCAUCGUCCAGGGCUCAGGUGAGGCCGCACCUCAAAUCCUGGGCUCAGUUUUGGGACCCUCACAACAAGAAGGACAUUGAGAGGCUGGAACACGUCCAGAGAAGGGAACGGAGCUGGGGAUGGGUCUGGAGCCCCAGGGGUUCUGGGAGCAGCUGAGGGACCUGGGGCUGUUUAGUCUGGAGAAGAGGAGGCUGAGGGGAGACCUCAUCACUCUCUGCAGCUCCUGGAAAGGAGGUUGUGGUGAGGUGGAUGCUGGGCUCUUCUCCCAAGUGACAAGGGAUAGGAUGAGAGGAAAUGGCCUCAUGUUGUGCCAGAGGAGGCUUAAAUUGGAUAUUGGGGAAAACUACUGAAAGAGUGGUGAAGCCUCCAUCCCUGGAGGGGUUUAAGAAAGAGGAGAGGUGUCACUUGGGGCCGUGGUUUGGCAGGCACGGUGGGGUUGGACUGACAGUUGGACUGGGUGAGCUGAGAGGUCUUUUCCAACCUUAAUGAUUCUGUGAUUCUAUGAUUUACCUAUCCAGUUCCUGUUACCCCUGUAUUACUGUGUGUUAUCGCAGUAAUAUCUUCCUCUUUGCGCUCUGCCGUGGGAGCACUCGGUUGGUGCUGUCUGAUCGAACGCUUUUGGCCAUGGCAGGCAGUGUUGUUCCCUCUGCAGAGACCGACUGAGCAGUGCUUUCCUCAGACUUGCUCUAUUCUGACUUCUGCUUUGCCCAGGCUCUCAGGUUAUUCCUUAUGCACCGGCUGCAGGGACGGUUGUGUUCGUUCAUCUUCCUACUUGUGGAAUAUUUUGACAUUUCCUUGCAUCUGUUGCAAGUCCAUCCUGUCUUUAAAUAAAUAUCUUGCUUUACCGUGGGAAGAGGUCCAGGAGCUCCCACCUGGGAUGCAUCUUUCCAGCUGUCUGAAUUUUCUUCCUUCUUUCUUUUCCUCUUCACUGAGCUAUGGAAACAGAGGCUUGGAGGGAUGCAGGGUUGGGGUGGUUUUUUCAGUUUUAGGCAAAGAGGAGCAGCAGCAGAUCUGUGGUUCUUAUAGUUUGCACCCACCGUCCUCUGUGUUCAGUUAUGUUUUGGCCAAAGACUUCCAGUUUCCAGGUCAAAGAGAAAAGUCACAAUUUUCUUUAUCAGGGAAGGGGAAAUAAUAGAAUGUUUUGGGUUGGAAGGGACCUCAAAGCCCAGGGACACCCAGGGGCUUGGAGCCCCUGAUCCAGUGGGAGGUGUCUCUGCUCAUGGCAGGGGUGGGACUGGAUGAGUUUUGAGGUGCCUUCCAACCCAUUCCAUGAUUCUGUGAUUCAAGCUGUGCCACCAGGACAGGAACCAGCUCAAGCCUUUUCUCCUGUUCCCUUUCUGGGAAGGACCGCAUCUCCUGCAGCAGCGCAUGGUCUCUGCAGCACCUUGGCAGUGCUCGGAGGCAAUGGGCCCCCCCUCCCCGCGGAACUCCAAGGACACUGGUAUGGGCAGAAGGCUGGGGUUCCGUUCCACCCACAUAACUCAGCGUGAGGUGAGGCUUUCAAUUGAGGACGGUCAUGGUGAGCCCCAGCCCUGAGGUCCAGGUUGCGGCCCGUGCCCUCAGCACCCCCUGACAGGGUCACUAAUUCAGGGUGAGCUUGUGCAGCCGAGAAUAACAGGUUCCUAAUGUUUUUUCUUUAUUGUAACUGGAAACUUCUAAGCAACAGGUUCAUGUUUCUCCUCACAUAUGCCUCGCAUAUUUGCCUUUUCUUGUUUUGGCUACAGCUAUCCUCCCAGGACCCCACCAGCACACAGAGCAGCAUAUGGCCUUCGACUUGCUUCAUUUCCAGCCCUCAUUUUUUCCCACAGUAAACCAGACUUUUUCAGGCAAUACUAAUCCCUCGUGCCUGUCACUGGUAGAGAAAAGCAUUAAUAACUGCAGUUAUCCUGGAAAUACCUGUCACCCACAUUUGUUUUUCGUUUCCCUUUGGGUAAUCACGCUCCAGAUCUAAUUACUGCAGAAAUUUCUUUUGCUCCAAUGCGCAGCAUUUUGGGUUACCUCCCCGGCUGGUUGUGAGUUUGACUCUGCCAACAAUGGGAGAUCGUACUGAUUUACAGCAGCCAUGGAUCUGCUGCUUCACCCCUUCAUUCCGCGUGUGGUUUGGUGGUGAUGGAUGCCUUCAAAGAACCACGGGGCUAAACUUGCACUGAUGCAGAGUGGGGUCCGAGGGCCAGCAAAGUCAGGGAGAGGCUUUCCUUGGUCUGAGCAGGCUCAGGAUGAGCAGCUGGGAGAGCAAGGAGAAAGGAAGAAGUGUUUUCAUCCUUUCCCCCCAGUGUCCUCUGUGCCUGCCCGCUCCCGCUUCAUCUCAGGGAGAUGGAGCUGCUGUUGGGGACGGUGCCAUGGGGAGGAGGCACUCUGCUGGUGUCGCACGCAACAGUGAGGACAGUGUUUGGGAGCUACGGUCAGAAAGACAGAGUCAGAGUUAGAUGGUUCUCCUCCUCUCUGGCUGACUCUCAUCUGUGAGACAAAAUGUCAGGGGUGAGGCUGAUGCAAACACCUGAGGGUAGCAAAUGCCAACGGACGGCCUUUUUCCUGUGUUUCCUCAGGCUGAUGUUCAAUUUUCCUGGAUCAGCAAUAACUUCCACACGAAGAGGCAGCUCCUCUGCUGCCUGCCAGCGAGGAGGAGCCGAGAGCAGCAUCCCUUGGGAGCGCCCUGGCACCUGCAGGUCAGCACAGACAGCCACUGGGAGAACUGGUCAGACUGGAGAAUGAGGCAGAGCGGUGGGGACAGUCAAACUGCAAAAUAAACCUCUAUAUGGAAGCAAAUGGUACAAGGAGAGUGUAUAUGAACUGGUGCCUGGGCAAAAGCACCCAAUUGCCCCAUGGCGAGCAAGAAGGAUAGCGUCGUGUGCCCUGGAAGCAAUUCACGGACAGGACGCCGACUCUUGGGACUGGGGCUGAUAACCCCAAGUCUCUCAGCCUGUCCUUGUACAGGAGAUGCUCCGGACCUGGAUCAUCUCCAUGGCCUCCUCUGGACUCGCUCCAACAGCUCCAUGUCCUUCCUGUGCCAAGGACUCCAGAACUGGACCCAGGGCUCCAGGUGGGUCUCUCAGAGCGGAGCAGAGGGGCAGAAUCCCCUCCCUCUCUGCUGGUCCCACUGCUCUGAUUGCAGCCCAGGACACGGGUGGUUUCUGGGCUGCAGAAAGUCGGCUCUGCUACAGUGUGCGCCCUCUGUGAGCAUUCAGGAAGAAUGUCUUAAAUUCAUCAUUUACCGUUGAAUGCAGAUCAAAGCCUCUGUCUGCUCUAAUGCCUUUGCUCGUCUCCAGCCAGCCAGGAGCAGCACAGGUAAGAAUACCAAUGAUAAAAAAUUAAAAGCUACAAUAAACAUUAUUGAUGCUAUUUCUAACGAGACAGAGGAAGAGAAAAAGAGGAUGCUGCGGUGAUAAAUAUCGUCUGUCAGCAAUAAAUUACAACCGUCAUUGGGUUUCUACAGUGGGGCCUGACAAAUUAUUUUGUGGGAGUACACGCUUUGCUACGCCUUACGCAGUCUCAGCUAUUCUGAGCCUGCACCUUAAAAGCGAUCAAUGGAAUUGAUUGGGUAUCGAUCCGAGCUGCACCACGCAGCACUGGAACAGCGCUCCGCCCCGGGUACCGCUCCUGCCCCAGCUGAACGUCUUUGGUAGGAUAAGGAGCAUCGGUGGGGCUUUUUUUCAGUGGUGACGGAUUGGAUUUAACAGGCUGAGGGAAGGGAAAGGCUGGGAUCCACCCAGCUGUGCAGGGCUCACCAUGGGGUCCACAGCUGGAGUUAAAGUCUGCUGUGACCUUGCCUGCUUCCUAAGUUGAGAAACUUUGCUUUUUUGUGGGUGCAGGUGUAUGGGCAGCAGCCUGGCGCUGGCAGGAUGGAUGUCUGUCUGUCUGUCUAUGACCUUCUGCUCCCCGGGCCCUGGGGACACAGGACAUGCACUUGCUUCCUCCAGAGCUCUUUUUCUUCCAGAGGACGCCAGCCCUUUCUUUACAACCUGACCCUUCUCCCUGACAUUAAGCUGAUUUCAUGGUUAAAAAAAUGGAUUUGAUGGGUUCAGCAGGCACGUGCAGGACCGUCUGUCUCUCCCCUGGCCCUGGGUGCGUGAGCACCACUGCAGCUCAGCUUCCAGCUCUCUUGUUUCUCCUGUAUCCCAUGCUCUGAGCUUCAUGCAGCCUCAAUGCAGAACACUUCAUCCCAUGCCUGCAGGUGCUGGGUCUCUUGCUGGCACCAGCACGGAGUGGCAACGCCAAAAGCAGCGCUGAGCUUGCCUCUGCCACAUGCCUCAUAGACCUCAAUUAGCAGAACAGCAUAGAAAAGGGGAAAAAAACCAUGUUGCAGUGCGGUCUUUACAAAAGCCAUUCAUCCCAGUGCUCUUACUAACAGACAUCAAAUGAGAUUCCUGCAGUAGAUGAUUUGUUUUGUCCUUCUCCUGCCGGCUCAGAUUAAUCUCCGCUCCUGAAGUAGUGGUGUCAUUUCUCAGAGACAUACGGCAGCAGGAAUCACGGAGUCCCAUAAAUUAGAAACAAUUCAGGAUCCAUCCAUCUUCCUUCCCGCGCUCCAUCUCUGCACCUUUCUGCAGGGCAAGGGCAGGCCCCGCAGGUACCGGCACAGCCGCCUCUUUGUAGACUAAUAAAUAAAAGAACCCCUCAAGAUGGGAGAGGCUUGAACAACAGAGGAAUUUUUGUGGUCGAAACCAAUUUGCCUUCUGCUGUUUUCCUUCCUUUCGAUCCAGAGGAGGAGCCGUGGUGGAAAUGCCAUGUCCCUGAGAGCAUCCCUGCUCCCCUGGCUCAGCCUCUGCUCGGCGGCGACGCCAGCCUCGAGAAGCAACACCCGUGUUCUAAAGAUUUACCCCAUCCCAUAGAAAAAUCAUUCCCCAGGUAAGCGCCUCACUCCAUUUCUGUGGCUUUGGUUCACACAACAACAGGGUUUGGUUUUUUCCUUUUCUCCCCCCUUUUUUGUGAAACGGUAGUUUUGAGCAAGAAGAGGGUUUACAUCAUUCAAAACUCGUUGCAACAGCUGGAGUUAAAGGUCUGGGACUUUAAAGGAGGGGGCGAGCACCGGGCACUGGGAGGUGGGGGAGUGGAAACACUCCAGGAGCAGAGGAGCUCAGCGUGUGCUGAUACAUCCCCAUCCUGCAUGCAGUGGUCUCAGACUGUCUCCUCCAAGUCCAUAUAAUGGUAAUAUGGACACUAAAGUGUGUGUGUGUAUGUGUAUAGUGUGUAUAUAUAUGCACACAUCUUUUUAUAUACACAGCAUACACAUACACACAUUCUGUAGGUGGAUAUAUUACACCUGGGUAACAAAAUAAAAGCUUGGAGGAGACUGAAGCACCGCUAUUUAUUAUUUAUGGAGCCUGCACAGUGACAAGCAGUGUACAGGUGUAAAA